UGACUUUAGAUUUGGAAGGGUGUAAAAGCUUCUUCCCGCUCUCUCUCGUCUCUCGUUUUUCUCUGAUCCUUGUCUGUCGUCAGUUUCUUCUGCCCUAGUUUCCGUUUCUGAUUUAUUACAUGGUAUUUGAAAACUGAUCUAGAUCUAGUUCCAUUUUCUCUCGUAAUCCAAAACCCAUCCCAUCGAUUCCUGAUUCAAUCGACAGAGCCUGUUAUGGGUAUUAAAAGAUUUGCUGGCCAUUUUAAGGUUGCUGAUCAAACCUUCGGUAGCUGUUUGCAAUUCGGUGGCCCCUUCACAACUCCAUUAUAAGGGUUCUGUUUGAUAUCUACACCUUCGACUAGUGAUUAUCCCCUCCACCUGCUGACUAAUUUUACAGCAACAGUCGUCACUCUUCAGUUUCCAGUGAGGAAUCACCUGAACGGGAUUUAGGAAAUCUCAUUAUGUCUGGACUAAUUGAAGGUCUUCCAGACGAACUUGCUCUUCUAUGCCUAGCAUGGCUACCGUUCGAGAUCUACCCUACUUGCAGCUUGUUUGCCAUUGAUGGAGAGCUGCCAUACAUCACCCUGAGUUAAUCAAAGCCCGACUAGAGGUUUCAGCACACGAGUUCUUGUGUGUGUGCACUGUGUGGUAGAGAAGUUAUGGCAGCUGUAUGAUCCUCUCAUUGACGAUUGGCUGACAUUACCUCGUCUGCCCACAGAGAUCAAAGAUCCUGUUGAAUUUGGUUUUGUCUCCACUCCAGGGAAGCUGUUUGUGCUUGGUGGUGACUGUUCUUAUUGGGAUGAUUCAACUAAUAGAGUAACUGGUGAAUUUGCAACUGAUAGAGUGUGGUCAUAUGAUCACAUCCUCGGACGCUGGGAUCAGCGGGCAUCAAUGCUAGUACCCCGUCAAAACUUUGCUUCUUGUGUUCUGGAUGGGAAGAUUAUUGUUGCAGGUGGUCUCAAAACCGUGCUAGAGCCUAUCUCUACUGCUGAGAUUUAUGACCCAGAGAGAUGUUUGGGCUCCACUUCCUGAUCUCCCUGAAACAGGUUAUCCAGAUUCUGGGGUGGUGAUUGAUGGCAAGUUGCAUGUGUUUUUCAAUGGGGAGUCAAAAUUUCUGGUCUUGGAGAAUGGUGGUGGUGAGUGGACCUGGGUGGUCAGAGAAAAUGAGUUGUUGAAGGGACCAAAGGCAGUAGUUAGUGAGGAGGUAUAUGUAUUGAACAAUGGUGUCAUAUUCAAGCUGGACAAGGAGCUGAAGAUACCAAAAAGGGUGGUGGAAGCACCACCUGAUUGCUCAUACUUCUUCCUUGGAUGUCAUUUUACAAUGAUAGGAAUUGGACCGGAGCUUUUCUUGGUUGGUGAAGAAGAAAUAUAUGUCCUUCGAGUUGGGAUGGAGACACCAACUAUACAUGAGCUCCCCCAGGAGUGGGAAUGGCAUGAAGCAUACACAAUAUGUGGGUGCACCAUGUCAUUGAUCUAAUAGUAUUUGCUGCUUUUGUUGGUUUGUCCCCAACUGGAAGAAUAAGAACUAGUAUAUGUGUUGCUUUGUUGGGUUUUAGUCCCCCAAGAGAGAGAGAGAGAGUUUUAUACCAAACUUUUUUUUUUUGAUAGGUUAUACCCAGAGAGAGAGAGAGAGAGAGAGAGAGAGAGAGAGAGAGAGAGAGAGAGAGAGUGCUUUUAUACCCAACUUUUUUUUUUUGAUAGGUUAUACCCAACUUCUGUUUUUGUAUGUGAACGCCAUCUUAUCUUGUUAAAUUUAAGCUAGUGUGAGACAUUUUUUAAGAAGAACUGCCAUUACCUCAGCCUACAAAUUAUUAGUUGAUUGAUUGGCUGUUGAAUGGAAAAGAAAUGGAAUACUAAAAUAUAUUAAUAAAUUUUUU